rnacentral:rRNA from 1 species
AUUGAACGCUGGCGGCAGGCCUAACACAUGCAAGUCGAGCGGAUGAAGGGAGCUUGCUCCUGGAUUCAGCGGCGGACGGGUGAGUAAUGCCUAGGAAUCUGCCUGGUAGUGGGGGAUAACGUCCGGAAACGGGCGCUAAUACCGCAUACGUCCUGAGGGAGAAAGUGGGGGAUCUUCGGACCUCACGCUAUCAGAUGAGCCUAGGUCGGAUUAGCUAGUUGGUGGGGUAAAGGCCUACCAAGGCGACGAUCCGUAACUGGUCUGAGAGGAUGAUCAGUCACACUGGAACUGAGACACGGUCCAGACUCCUACGGGAGGCAGCAGUGGGGAAUAUUGGACAAUGGGCGAAAGCCUGAUCCAGCCAGGCCGCGUGUGUGAAGAAGGUCUUCGGAUUGUAAAGAACUUUAAGUUGGGAGGAAGGGCAGUAAGUUAAUACCUUGCUGUUUUGACGUUACCAACAGAAUAAGCACCGGCUAACUUCGUG